UCGCUCAUCAGAUACCACAAAGGGUGUUGGUCGAUCUUAACAGCAGGACGGUGGUCAUGGAAGUCGAAAUCCGCUAAGGAGUGUGUAACAACUCACCUGCCGAAUCGACUAGCCCCGAAAAUGGAUAGCGGUGAAGCGAGUGACCGAUACGGGCCAUUGUUGCAAGAUAAUUGGCAACAAUGAGUAGGAGGGCGUGGGGGUUGUGAAGAAGCUUGGACGUGAGUCUGAGUGAAACAGCUUCCAGUGCAGAUCUUGGUGGUAGUAGCAAGUAUUCAAUAAGAGAACAUUGAAGGCCGAAGUGGGGAAGGGUUCCAUGUGAACAGCACUUGGACAUGGGUUAGCCGAUCCUGAGAGACAGGUUAAAUUCCAUCGGAUUGGAGCUUUGGCUCUGUUUCUCGAAAGGGAAGCUGGUUAGUAUUCCAGCGCCGAGACGUGGAUAAUAUGUGGCAACACAAGUGAACUCGGACACGCCAUAGGGGACCCCAGGAAGCGUUGUCUUUUCUUUUUAACAGUUCGACUUACCCUGGAAUCAGAUCAUCUGGAGAUAGGGUUUUCGAACUGGAAUAGCACCUUGUCUAACAGGGUGUCUGGAGUGUUCUCGCUGGCCCUUGAAAAUCCGAGGGAUAGAUUUAUUCGCACUCUCGAUCGUACCCAUAACCGCAUCAGGUCUCCAAGGUUAGAAGCCUCUGGUCCGUAGGACAAAGUAGAUAAGGGA
rnacentral:ncRNA from 1 species